rnacentral:rRNA from 1 species
UAUCUCUGUAGAGUCUGUAUAUCAAUAAGCGGAGGAAAAGAAACUAACAAGGAUUCCCUUAGUAACGGCGAGUGAAGCGGGAAGAGCUCAAAUUUGAAAUCUUCAAGGUUUACCUUGACGAAUUGUAGUUUAAAGAAGUGUUUUCUGUUGAAGUUUCGGUAAAAGUUCUUUGGAAUAGGACAUCAUAGAGGGUGAGAAUCCCGUAUUUGACCAGUUAUUUUCAGCUGUGUGAUACACUUUCAAAGAGUCGGAUUGUUUGGGAAUGCAGUCCAAAAUGGGUGGUAAAUUUCAUCUAAAGCUAAAUAUUGGCGAGAGACCGAUAGCGAACAAGUACCGUGAGGGAAAGAUGAAAGGAACUUUGAAAAGAGAGUUAAACAGUACGUGAAAUUGUCAAAAGGGAAGCGUUUGACACCAGUGUUGUUUUCUCGAAAAUCAAUUAAAAAGUGUUGGAUUUUGUAUUGUUAAGACCUUAUCAGCUUACUGUACUCUUUUCCUGCACUUUUUAAUGCACUUUUCGUUUAACAAGUCAACAUCAAUUUCUUUUGUUGUAAAAGAGUCAUUGGAAGGUGGCUUUUUCUUCGGAAAAAGUGUUUAUAGCCUUUGGCUUCUGCAAUCGGAGAGAUUGAGGUCUGCAGCGUAGAUCCUUCGGGGUUAGACACAUUUGUGCUAAGCUAUAGUUCUUUAUAGACAACUUGUUGACUAUAAUCAAUCCUGUAACUUACUCGCUUAUGCUAUUUUACCUACGCUUAGGAUGUUGACUGAUAUGUAGUCGU